rnacentral:rRNA from 1 species
UGGGGAAUAUUGGACAAUGGGCGAAAGCCUGAUCCAGCCAUGCCGCGUGUGUGAAGAAGGUCUUCGGAUUGUAAAGCACUUUAAGUUGGGAGGAAGGGCCAUUACCUAAUACGUGAUGGUUUUGACGUUACCGACAGAAUAAGCACCGGCUAACUCUGUGCCAGCAGCCGCGGUAAUACAGAGGGUGCAAGCGUUAAUCGGAAUUACUGGGCGUAAAGCGCGCGUAGGUGGUUUGUUAAGUUGGAUGUGAAAUCCCCGGGCUCAACCUGGGAACUGCAUUCAAAACUGACUGACUAGAGUAUGGUAGAGGGUGGUGGAAUUUCCUGUGUAGCGGUGAAAUGCGUAGAUAUAGGAAGGAACACCAGUGGCGAAGGCGACCACCUGGACUGAUACUGACACUGAGGUGCGAAAGCGUGGGGAGCAAACAGGAUUAGAUACCCCAGUAGUCCCUG